GACAAUUAAAUGCACAGAAUGGUCUUAAGGGAUUACAUAAGAUCCAAAAGGAUGAUAAACAUAGAAGUCUUAGUAGGCAUCUAUACUAAUGAUAAGUUAUAUAACAAGGGGCUCUUGCAACUUGCUUAUAUUGAGUAGACGAUCAGGCACAGUCCCUUGGAAGUGCAUUUUAAGGCAAAAGCAUAUACUCACCCUUCGUUCAUGCUAGAUGACCCGUUGCGCUGAUGGCGCAAAGAGCAAGAGCGAUCCAAGCAUUCAAACCAUGCACGUAAGAAUAUUUAGAGACCAGUGAUCAACAAAAGGCAUCAAUGUUGUGGUCUUCAAGAGAAGAUUGGCAUCUUUUGUCCCUAUUUCCACAACUGAUUCAAUUGAAGAACUAAAUGCAACAUCUUAGGGCCAUAUGCUUAAUAGCAUAGAAAGGGGAGCACUAAUGAUCGAAAAGCAAGUGCAUAUGUGUUUGUAGUGAAAAGAGAUGCGUGACAACUAUCUCUAAUCUCAUUAUAACGUCACUAUGCAAUGCAGAAACCAUAACCAGAAUUAUUCAUAUCUGAAACAAAUACCAAACACUAAAAUUAAACAAAAACAUCAUUGCCUAAUCAGUUUUUCUAGGUUUACUUUGCUGGCCUAACAUGACCCAAUCAGAAAAUAAGAAUGAACUUGCUGGAAGGCUAUAGGAAAUGAUUUGAUGUUGAGAUAUUGAUUACGGUUGCAACCCUCAUUGUUGCAUGUCUCUGCCCUGCCCUCGCCUUGGGACAACCUCCAGUGCAGCCAUGCCCUCCCUCGCUUCCGGUGCUCCUGUCAAAAAGCCUUCCCCUCUAAGUGAUAAAUAUGAUGAUAGAGAACACAACUACCCGUUGCUAAAAAUUGUGCAGCUAUAAUAGUCAGAAAGACUUGACAACAAAAAGCUGAAGGAACCACAUGUUAAAAAAAAGCUAAAGGGGAACUAAAGCACAACUACCCAUUGCUGCAACAUAGAAACUGGAGAUACAACAAUAUUAUUCUUAAGGUGAAAUAUUACUCACAACAGCAAUAUGCAG
rnacentral:lncRNA from 1 species